CUUACGAGCUCCUGGAGGUCUCAGCGGUGUUCGCCUGUUUGCGUAUCCGUUUUUAGUUCCAUGCGUUCACAGGCAAACACCGCCGUUCGUGCGUAAGAUGGCCGCGAACACGUGUAAAGUCCCGAAAUGGCAGGCAUCUAACCUAAGCACAAAGGGAUUCGUAUGAACCAUGCGAACGGCUCCACGAUCACUGGGAGGUAAAAUAACAAUUAACUGUUCCCCUGGGUGGUCUGAUGUUCGGUAUUUUGGGCUGUAUGUUACAGUAGCAAUAUUCACACGAAAACUAGCCAUUCGGUUUCUGUUUAACACAUCCAGCAGCAUUGUUAAUUAAGUCCAGGCAAAAGUAUAGGCAUAAUCAUAGUUCUGUUAC